GAUGAACGCUGGCGGCGUGCCUAAUACAUGCAAGUCGAGCGAACAGACGAGGAGCUUGCUCCUCUGACGUUAGCGGCGGACGGGUGAGUAACACGUGGAUAACCUACCUAUAAGACUGGGAUAACUUCGGGAAACCGGAGCUAAUACCGGAUAAUAUAUUGAACCGCAUGGUUCAAUAGUGAAAGACGGUUUUGCUGUCACUUAUAGAUGGAUCCGCGCCGCAUUAGCUAGUUGGUAAGGUAACGGCUUACCAAGGCAACGAUGCGUAGCCGACCUGAGAGGGGGAUGGCCAAACCUGAAAUGAGAACAGGUCCAGACUCCUAAGGGAGGGCGGAGGAAGGAAACCUCCGGAAAGGGCCAAAACCCUAACGAGGAAACGCGCGGUAGGUAAUGAGGUCUUCCGAAUCGAAAAACCUUGUAAUAGGGAAAAACAAAAUUUGAAGUAAAUAAUCACCGCUUGAACGUAACCAAACAAGAAAGCACCGCUAACCUCCUG
rnacentral:rRNA from 1 species